rnacentral:rRNA from 1 species
UACAUAGGGGGCAAGCGUUAUCCGGAAUUAUUGGGCGUAAAGGGUGCGUAGGUGGUUAUUUAAGUCUUUGGUGUAAGUGCAGUGCUUAACGCUGUGAUGCUAAAGAAACUGGGUAACUUGAGUGUGGUAGAGGCAAGUGGAAUUCCAUGUGUAGCGGUAAAAUGCGUAAAUAUAUGGAGGAACACCAGUGGCGAAGGCGGCUUGCUGGGCCACAACUGACACUGAGGCACGAAAGCGUGGGGAGCAAACAGGAUUAGAUACCCUGGUAGUCCACGCCGUAAACGAUGAGUACUAAGUGUAGGAGAAAUUCUGUGCUGUAGUUAACGCAAUAAGUACUCCGCCUGAGUAGUACGUGCGCAAGCAUGAAACUCAAAGGAAUUGACGGGACCCCGCACAAGCGGUGGAUCAUGUUGUUUAAUUCGAUGAUACGCGAAGAACCUUACCAGGUCUUGACAUCCCCUGCAAAGCUAUGGAGACAUAGUGGAGGUUAUCAGGGAGACAGGUGGUGCAUGGUUGUCGCCAGCUCGUGUCGUGAGAUGUUGGGUUAAGUCCCGCAACGAGCGCAACCCUUAUUGCUAGUUACCAUCAUUAAGUUGGGGACUCUAGCGAGACUGCCAGUGAUAAACUGGAGGAAGGUGGGGAUGACGUCAAAUCAUCAUGCCCCUUAUGACCUGGGCUACAAACGUGAUACAAUGGCUGAAACAAAGGGCAGCGAAGCAGUGAUGUGGAGCGAAACCCAAAAAAGCAGUCUCAGUUCGGAUUGAAGUCUGCAACUCGACUUCAUGAAGUCGGAAUCGCUAGUAAUCGCGGAUCAGAACGCCGCGGUGAAUACGUUCUCGGGGUU